GUGGUAAUUCUAGAGCUAAUACAUGCUAAAAACCUCGACUUCGGAAGGGGUGUAUUUAUUAGAUAAAAAACCAAUGCCCUUCGGGGCUCCUUGGUGAAUCAUAAUAACUUAACGAAUCGCAUGGCCUUGCGCCGGCGAUGGUUCAUUCAAAUUUCUGCCCUAUCAACUUUCGAUGGUAAGAUAGAGGCUUACCAUGGUCUUAACGGGUAACGGGGAAUUAGGGUUCUAUUCCGGAGAGGGAGCCUGAGAAACGGCUACCACAUCCAAGGAAGGCAGCAGGCGCGCAAAUUACCCAAUCCCGACACGGGGAGGUAGUGACAAUAAAUACUGAUACGGGGCUCUUUUGGGUCUCGUAAUUGGAAUGAGUACAAUCUAAAUCCCUUAACGAGGAACAAUUGGAGGGCAAGUCUGGUGCCAGCAGCCGCGGUAAUUCCAGCUCCAAUAGCGUAUAUUAAAGUUGUUGCCGUUAAAAAGCUCGUAGUUGAACCUUGGGCCUGGCUGACCUGUCCUCCUAAUCGAGCGCACGGGUUCGGUCGGGCCUUUCCUUCUAGGGAACCCCAUGCCCUUCACUGGGUGUGGUGGGGAACUAGGACUUUUACC
rnacentral:rRNA from 1 species